rnacentral:rRNA from 1 species
AACUUUCAACAACGGAUCUCUUGGCUCUCGCAUCGAUGAAGAACGCAGCGAAAUGCGAUAAGUAGUGUGAAUUGCAGAACUUUGUGAACCAUCGAAUCUUUGAACGCAAAUUGCGCCUCCUUUCGGGAGGCAUGUCUGUUUGAGGGCACC